rnacentral:misc_RNA from 1 species
GAUGCCCAGGGAUGAAACUGAUUCCAAGACAGCCUCCCCGUGGAAGUCUGCUCGUCUGAUGGUUCACACCGUGGCCACCUUUAAUUCCAUCAAGGAGCUGAAUGAGCGCUGGCGGUCCCUACAGCAGCUGGCCGAGGAACGGAGCCAGCUCUUGGGCAGCGCCCAUGAAGUACAGAGGUUCCACAGAGAUGCUGAUGAAACCAAAGAAUGGAUUGAAGAGAAGAAUCAAGCUCUAAACACAGACAAUUAUGGACAUGAUCUCGCCAGUGUCCAGGCCCUGCA